UCCUGGUGUCUCAGAUGGUGAAGAAUCUGCCUGCAAUGCAGGAGACCCAAGUUCAAUUCUUGGGUCAGGAA
rnacentral:tRNA from 1 species